ACAGUUUGGGGCCGACGGUGAAGACGGGGCGUUCUUAGGGGGUGAUGUUCAGGCCCGUCGCCGACCAUAGGACGGAGCCCACAUAGAGUAGUUUAAAAACAAAACAGAAAGGAACAAGACAUAAUUUUCAUCAAAAUAGACAUGACACACCAACACAAGCUACUUUGACUACCUAAGUGUUAAAUUAUGUUUUCCCUCCACAAAAUGUCUACAUCCUUAGGCUACACGGUAUGGUGCCGGAGAAGAGGACGUCGCCGGAGCAAGACCGAGGGGGGCGGCGUGGGAGGACGGGCGUCACCAAGGGGGGCCCACAUGCUUUGGUCCGUCGCAAACGGCUUAACUCCGACGGGGAGGACGGGACGGAGGGGCGGCGGCGUGGGACGACGGUGGUGAUGUGGCGGCGAAGUUGGAGGACGAACCUGGCGACGGUUCCAUACCGUUUAGCCUUACCUACCCCAAACGAUCACUCACAUAUAGCAUUUCAAAACAAUAUACUCUCAUCAGUCACCACCCUCUCCAUUAUUCUGGGGUGUUUGGGGUUUUUUUUUUCCAUCUCCUUUUGACUUAUUUUAUUAACACUUAAUAAGUUAUAACAAUAGUGUUUGACAAAGUACUUUUAAAAUGACUUUUGGUUUGUACUAUCAGAAGGCAAAUUUGAAAAGUAAAGAUUUAUAACUUCUCAAAUAGCAAAAUGACUUUUGAAAAAUUUAUGACCAUUACACCCUUCACCUACCUACCUGCCCUUCCAAACACUGCUGCCAUCUUCAACAGCAUUAGGGUGAAGGGGGUGCUCACCUAAUAGGUGAGUCCCCUCUCUUACGCUAAACCAAUCCCCGCGUGCCACGUCAACUCCACUCUUAAACUCUCCUAACACCCUAAUUUGAUGGCGCAACUCCCCUCUUAGGUGAAUUGUUUUUUUUUUUUUUAAAAAAAAAAAAAAAGAAAAUCAUUGAUUGGAUGGCAGCUCCCUCUCUCCUCUCUCUCUCCUCCCCCUCUCUUCGGUGAACCCCCACCCAUUUCACUCCUCUCACCCACUCACCUAAGGGAUGGCGGCGGUGUUCCCUUUAGGUGAAUGGGGUCACCGAUUGCAUUCCCCGCUUACACCCCGUAUACCCUUAAUCUCCAUCUCUGUUCAUCUCUUUUAAAACAGAUCCUCAAUUCUCACAAACAGAUCUUCUUUUCAACCGAUCAGAUCAAAUCAAACCCUUACUCCAUUUCUGUUAUCAUUAAUCUCCAUCUCUGUUCAUCAUCAAUUAAGGUUACCAGCGACUACACCUUCAUCUGCCGCCUUCACCGGAGCAGCUUCGUUAAUACUAGCACCAUUAAUCCUCCAACUACCGCCUUCAAUUACCCCCAUCUACCAUGCCAGCUUCCUUCGUUUAUUAUCCGACCCUUACAUCAUAUCUACCAUCAAACCUUUACAUCUCAACAACAAAACAAAAUCACCCAUCACUGCUGUUGCUUGUUGCUCGCUGCUGCUGGAGCCAUACCGGAGAUAGAAUCAUCUGCAGGAGAUCGUAGCUUUUCAACUGCACUAACUAAUCCUACGGCUCACCAUAUCAUCCUCAUUUUUAGCUCCAAAAUCACCAAUCCAAGCCUAAAUCUUUCAUCUUCUAAGUGAUCUCAAACGUUUUUAAGGGGUUUUCUUGCUUAAGGACUCAAGUUUUCUCGUUUCUCUCAAGAAUCUUCACCUAGCCUUGCUAGUGCAACAAAGUUAUAAGUUAAAAGAGAGAACCAAAAGAGACAAAAGACAACCUGUGAUCUCCUUUACUCUCUCCACUAUAGCCUCUGUUACAACCACCUUCCUGGCUUUUCUGCUCCUUCAUUAUAAUAACACUUCAAUUAGUUCCCAACUCCACAUCAAUGCAACCUAAACCUCUCAUUCUCUUUGGUUUUCCCCCAUUUUGUUGCAAUAUAAGCAAAACCAAUACCGCCACGUUCAACCUUUCUUCAAACCACCAGAAUCGUCCCCAGCAGAUGAGUAUGGAGUUGCACUCUAUAAUGAUAUGGAGAGGCGCAUGCAACUUUUUAAGGCACCAACAUAUGGUACAAGUGGACUAUACUACUUUCAUAAAAAAAAAAGUUGCAGACCACCACCGUUUUUUAGGGGAUGUGAAAGAAGUCGCCUUCAUACAUACUAGUGACCCGACAUAUACAAGAAGCUGCAAGAUGGUCAUGGAAUCUGCUGAUUCACUUGGAAAUAUUCUGGGAAGCACUAGCCAUACCAUUGAUGAGCGUAAGGUGGCCGUUGAGCGUUACCUUGGGUAAUAACUAAUAAGUAGGGAGGCACACACACCCGUGGCUAUUUCUCAAGGGAAAACAAAUCGUGAGAGUGACUGGGCUUGACGUUACCAUGAAUCAAUGCGAUGUGUAUAGGGAGCUUGAGAAUGCCUUUGCUAACUGUGGAUCAUGUACGACAGGGUAAUCCGGCGGCGAUUACGGUUCGAUUACGGCUGUUACAAGUUGUUUCGAACACACAAACGACUCAUCCGGCGGCGAUUUGUAACAAUUUCAGGCGAAUACGUUCGAUAACCGGCGGCGAUACGGAUGUUCUAAGUUGUUGCGGAGGCGAUUACGAUCGAUUACGGCGGCGAUUACAGUUGUUCUAAGUUGUUGAGGAGUAUAAUGACUACAAAUGAAAUCGGUGAAUCGGAUGACAAACGUGAAACCAGAUAGGGUAGAUCGAAGGGCAUCCUGAGGAAGAAGAUUACAGGUACCAAAUUAUACAUAAAUUUUGAGGAAGAAGACUACAUGUAACAAAUUAUAUACAUAGAUUUAUUGUAGUUUUUAGUUUACACAUGUAAUAUGUAUAGCAACUUGAAAUUGAAACACAUAUUUGUACAAUUACAACAAAUUAGGGCAUAUUUCACCCGAAUAACACAUUUUUAGGUCAAUUCUGAAAAAUAAUAUGGUAUUUUAAUGGCGUUUUUUGUGUUAAAUACAAUAUUUAGUAUGUUAAUAGACGUAGCUUGUAUAUUUUGUGAUGAUAGUUAAAUAAUUACAAUUUUUGUGUAAAAUUAUGGAUACAGAGAUUAAUUUUUGUAUGUUGUAUGAAUACACAUGUAAUUUAGUACACAAAUGUAUGAUUAUGUUAGUUUUUACAAAGUAUGCAUAUAUGCAUAUAACGUGAUAUGUACAUAUAAAGUAUGUAAAAUAAUAUGUAUACAUGUACAGUUGCAUGUACAAUAUGUUUUACAUAUACAUAUGCAUAUAUAUUAAUGGUAUGCAUAUAUGCAUAUAUAUUAAUCAUAUGCAUAUAGAUUAAUGGUAUGCAUAUAUGCAUAUAUAUUGAUGGUAUGAAUUUAUGCAUAUAUAUUAAUGGUAUGCAUUUAUGCAUACAGUUUGUUGAAUAGAACAGAGAUUAAUUUUGUAUGUUGUAUGAAUACACAUGUAAUUUAGUACACAAAUGUAUGAUUAUGUUAGUUUUGACAAAGUAUGCAUAUAUGCAUACAAUGUGAUAUGUACAUAUAAAGUAUGUAAAGUAAUAUGUGUACAUGUACAGUUGCAUAUGCAAUAUGUUUUACAUAUACAGAUGCAUAUAUAUUAAUGGUAGGCAUAUAUGCAUAUAUAUUAAUGGUAUGCAUUUAUGUAUACAAGUUGUUGAAUAUAAAGUAUGUUUACAUGUACAUUGAAUAUAGAUUAAUGGUAUGCAUACAAGUUGUUGAAUAUAAAGUAUGUUUAUAUGUACAUUGCACAUAGAUUAAUGGUAUGCAUUUAUGCAUACAUGUUGAUGCAUAUAUAUAAUAUAUGUACAUGUACAAUUGCAUACAUAUUAAUGGUAUGCAUUUAUGCAUAUAAAAUAACGGUAAAAUAUGUAAACGUAUAUGUUAUCAGUUUUAAUAUAUUAACAUUGUUUAAUUGCAUGUUUAUACAACAGGUGAUGAAAGGGAAAAAAAGGAAAGUGACAUUUAGUGCCGAUGUUAAGAAAACUGAUGCAAAUCCAACACAUAUUAGAAAAAGGAAACAUAAUGAUGAUAAAGAAGAUAAUGAACCAAUUGUGUCGAUGAUUAGGAAAUCACAAAUUAGAAAAAGGAAAAGUAACGUUAACAAUAAAGAUGUGGAGAAUGCAAAAAACACAACAACAGUUGAACAACCAAGCAAAGACACAUAUGGAUGAUAUAGAAGAUACGGUAAUCGUAUUGAAGCAUCAGAUGAAUGACAUAAAGGAAGAGUUGGAAAGACAGUUUUUGCUUAAUCCAGACGAUGAACAAUUGUUGAAAGUGAUUGGGAUGUUUAAUGAGACUUUCAAGGAAACUGUAAAGAUGGAAAAGGUUAAACAGAACGUUGAUGAAAUUGUUGAUGGUGUUAUUAGUAUGUUACAGAAAAACGUAAGGACGGAUGAUACAAAGGAAGGGGAUGAAUGUGGGAAAACAGAUGUGAAAAAAGGUGGAAAAUUAGGAAUUGAUGAAAGUAAGGGUACUGAUGACGUAGAGACAGGUGAUAAAUCGGUAGCACAAAAAAAGGUGGCAUAUAAGUAUCGUAAGAAGGAGAGGAUGUAGUUGAUAAGUCAAUGCCAUCAUUUGUAUUAUUGACCCCAAGUUCGCAAGAAUCAGAUGAUGAUGAGUGCGAGGAGGUAGUGCCGAUGAAUAAACCGUUGGACGAGAAAGAAAAAUUGUUAUGGAAUUUUGUGAUGAUCAUUGGGAUGGAAAAAAAGAGGAUCGAGGGAAAUAAGAAGGAUGACGAAUAUGGGAGGGGCGUAUAUGAUGAAGAUGGAAAAGGCGAAGUUGACACAGAAAAGAAAAAUGACAAAUCCGGAUUAAGCUUUAUGUUGAAGAUGUUUGAAACACAACAUGGAUUGCAUGCAUUGGGGCAUACAAUGAACACGCUAGAUUUUGGGAAGGAGAUAUCAUCAAAUCUGAUAGAUUGUUGGACAAAAUGUUAAAUGAUAAGGAGAAAAAGAUGGUGGCUAGCGGGAAAAGACGGUUGUUCUGUUAUACAUCAAACUUUCCGGAAUAUAUGCUGAAGAAGAAGCAAGAUGAGGAGAUGGCUUUGAAAUCUGUGAAAAAGUAUUUGAGAGAAGUAUUUGAAAGGGACGACACGCUGUUGGAUUUGAGAGCUUUUAAUAUAAUAGUGGUACCAAUGAUCGAAAAGGCACAUUUUUAUCUUAUUUGUAUGGAUUUGGAUACGGGAGAUGUGCAGGUGACAGAUAACAUGGAUUCAAACAGAGACGCCGUGCAUGUAAGGACAUCAUCAGAGUUUAGAUACAUGGGGACACCAUUGUUAGUGCACUACAUCUGUUGAUUGCGUCUAGGUGUUUAGGAUCAGGUCUUUUAUCGUAUUGUAUAGCAUAGGGCACGUAAUACGAGAAAACAGGAGUCUGUA